UGGGAUAUAGCUCAGUGGUAGAGUACGUGCUUAGCAUGCACAGGGUCCUGGGUUCAAUCCCCAGCACCUCCA
rnacentral:tRNA from 1 species